GUGAAACUGUGCUCAAUUUUUUACUUUUUUCAAAUAUUUAUUUGAUAAAUAAUUGAGUUUUAAGAAAACGUUAAGAUGUUUACUGCUUUUAGCAAUGAUUUUUUUUCCUGUACAUAGUGUUUUGCAAUUUAAUUUUAAUCAAGUUCUUUUAUAUUUCCGUUCUUUAUAAUAUUUAAGCGAAAUAAUAACUUUAAAUAUAUCGACACUGAACAAAUGAAAUGAGAUGCGAUUACUCUUAUGUUUUAUUACUCUAUGUUGGAUAACUUCGUCUCAGUCCUUCAAAUUGUCAAAAAAAUUCGAGUUCCUUGGCUGUAUUUUUAAAUCACCUGCACUGAACGAAACAAUCGUAAGCUUGUUUCCGGAAGUUGCAGCUAAGAGGAGCGACUAUCAUAAACACGCCCGCGAUGUCAAGUGCAUGGACAUUUCAAAGAGAAAAAACAAUGAAUUAGUUGGGCUCUACAAGAACACGUGUUUGAACGAAAAAAAGUUAUCGAACUUAUUGCGUUUUAUGAAAAAGAGCUUCCGUAAAAGUGACUGUAAAAAAAAACAUAUACAAGUUUACCGCGUGCGUAAAAUGUAAAGUUCAUUUGGUACAUAAAGUAUAAAAUUUA